GCCCACAUAGCUCAGUUGGUAGAGCACUUCCAUGGUAAGGAAGAGGUCGUGUGUUCGAUUCACACUGUGGGCACCA
rnacentral:tRNA from 1 species